ensembl:lncRNA
CUCUGCUGUAGUGCUACAUGUUCAUUCUCUUUUACAGCAUGCUCCGUGUUUCUGUUCGAUAGGUUAGGUAGAAAAUAUGUUUAGUAACAGAAUUCCGCUGUGUACAGAGCUGAAUAUGAAUGUAGAAGAUGGCAGAGCGGUGUGUGGUGAGAGUAGCGAGCUCGCGCGUGGAGCCGCCGCCAUCUUGUUAGCUUCAGUGUAGCCGAGAGGGUUACUGAGGGGAUUAUAAUAAUAACUAAUAGUUUUCUUCAUCCCUACUUAUAAAGCGAGGUUUUCCAUAGUUAUAGCCUCGUUUUGUGCCGUGAAAAGUAAUAUUUUCCAUAUAAAAUAUAGCCGCUUGGCAGGCCAUGCGGUAAAACUAGAUGCUGAGUAGCUAAUGUUUUAGCGCGUUAUGUUGGGAAUUAGAAUCCUGUGUGAUAACGCCUUUAAAAUAAAACCUGUAUUGAAUUGAGCGGCUGGCAUGCAGAAGCUAGUGAGGAUGGCAGCGUUGUGAAGGUGAACGCGGACAGUUGAAAGGUGUGUUAACUCUUUGGGGCCGUGAGCAUCGCCUGCGAGUUUCAGCAUGGAGCAGGACGGGUAAAUCAGGACAGGUACAUGCUGAUGGAACACUCAGGUAGACUUUUGCACAGGAACCUUCUGGUGUGUUAGAAUAAUUCUAGUAAACUGUGUACUGACUGUGCACUAAAUCCCUACAAUACUACAUGUUCCUUUUAUUCUGAUGUUAAAGUGCUGAAAUAAGUGUGUCCUACAAUAAAGUGAUGAAAUGUGUGAAGUUGUAUCGUCGUUCUUGCUGACUUCU